UCCUCUCCCGAGUUGGAAAAGCAGUCCGUGAAGUCUUUGGCUACGGUGCAAACUGUUAGCAAGGCACUGGAACAGCUUUUCAAGGGCGUUUGAAGGAAAAACCUGCCUCUUUGAAGAUUUGCUGACCUCUUCUGUGAAUGCCAAAACAGAGAAAGUAUGGACCACAGAUCAUAUUUUUGCAUAUGGACACCAAUUGUUCCAGCACCAUUGGUUGAAAAUCAUCCUUCUUCCACCAAAUCGCCUUUGUGCUUCUGUCAAAAUCAACUGACCAUAUAUGCGCAUAGAAUGCGGUGCUAGGGUGGCUGAGGAGAAAGACCCAGCUCUCAAGGAGCUCACAGUUGUGGACAGAGGCUGAUCAGUAAAGGAUCCUGGAGCACCCGCCACACGCCAGGCUUUCUGGCAGAAGUCUCGGACGGGCGUCCACAGAUGUAGAGCCUGCAAGAUUCCUUGCAUUCAAAUGAGGACUCCAAGGUGGAGGUGAACUAGACGAAGCAGAAUGCGGGAUGGGGGCAGGUAAGCCAGUAACUGUAACCAAUCUUGGCGGGUGCCGUUCCUGCGUUAGAAGCUGGGGCAGGGUCUUCAGAAACACAACGCAGGGACACCUGAACGGAGUCUUAAUGCACGGGAAGCCCGGUGAAGAGGGAUGUGCGGCCUGGAGGGUGGUGUGCAGAGCCAUAGGCAAGGCCCUGGGGCAGGCACCACGGUGGGUGCAUGUGGGUGGUACGUCUGGAACCAAAAGUGUGAGCAAGAAAUGGUGGCAUCCAAAGCAAGGUCACAGAACCUUCGUCUGCAGUCCUAAGGUGCCGAGGCUCUACCGUGUUGGCCUGUGCGUUUCCUACACUCUCCUGACAAAAAUCACGCACGGCGAUCAUUAGAAGCUGCUUUCCAAGGUCAAACUCAGGCCUACUGCAUCCCAGUCUCGGGAGGAGAGGUUUCGAAUGAGC